rnacentral:rRNA from 1 species
AUUGAACGCUGGCGGCAGGCCUAACACAUGCAAGUCGAGCGGAUGAAGGGAGCUUGCUCCUGGAUUCAGCGGCGGACGGGUGAGUAAUACCUAGGAAUCUGCCUGGUAGUGGGGGAUAACGUCCGUAAACGGGCGCUAAUACCGCAUACGUCCUGCGGGAGAAAGUGGGGGAUCUUCGGACCUCACGCUAUCAGAUGAGCCUAGGUCGGGUUAGCUAGUUGGUGGGGUAAAGGCCUACCAAGGCGACGAUCCGUGACUGGUCUGAGAGGAUGAUCAGUAACACAGGAACUGAGAAACGGUCCAGAAUCCGACGGGAGGCAGCAGUGGGGAAUAUUGGACAAUGGGCGAAAGCCUGAUCCAGACAUGCAGCGUGUGUGAAGAAGGUCUUCGGAUUGUAAAGCACUUUAAGUUGGGAGGAAGGGAAGUAAGUUAAUACCUUGCUGUUUUGACGUUACCAACAGAAUAAGCACCGGCUAACUUCGU